rnacentral:rRNA from 1 species
AGAAGCAGAGUAAAUUUCCCUUCUUUAGACAGAUCACUUUCUUUCGUAAGCGAUUACGGGAAAACCUACCCGGCCCGGACACUAAGAGGAUUGACAGAUUGAGAGCUCUUUCUUGAUUCGGUGGAUGGUGGUGCAUGGCCGUUCUUAGUUGGUGAAGCGAUUUGUCUGGUUAAUUCCGAUAACGAACAAGACUCUAGCCUAUUAAAUAGGUGUGGGGUUGCCAGCACCUUACAACCUUUUAAGAGAAACAAGCGGCUCCUAACCGCACGAAACAGAGCAGUAACAGGUCUGUGAUGCCCUUAGAUGUCCGGGGCCGCACGCGCUCUACACUGGAGCAUGCAGCGUGUUUUGUUUCUUGUCUGAAAAGACUGGGUAACCCGUGGAACUUCCUUCGUGAUUGGGAUAGGGGCUUGCAAUUGUUCCCCUUGAACGCGUAAUUCCUAUUAGGCGCGAGUCAUAAGCUCGCGUUGAUUACGUC